AUUAUAAUUUAGCAUUUAGAAAUCUAUUUGGCUGGAAGUCAGGGAAGUGAGGUAAAAAUCCUCCGCUGCCCCGCAGCCGUGAAGGGAACGAAAGCCCGAUUAGAGGCCACUGUCAUGAGUAAUAUCAUGAUGGGAAGGCNNNNNNNAUAUCAUGAUGGGAAGGCGGGUGAGUAGGACGCCCGAAGCCGGAAGACCUAUCCAGACAAAAAGUUCUUU
rnacentral:ncRNA from 2 species